AAUCUGUAUUGUGUAAAGUGCUAUAUAAAUAAAUGUGACAGUAUUUACAAUUAGAACUUAAAAUAACCAGCACCGAUUAUUUUCAGUUUGGAAAGAAACCAAGAAAAUCCUCCUGGCAAUUGCAGCAUUUUAGUGGCAUUCAUGUAUGUGCAUCACAUAAAAAUGAGUGUACACACACACACACACACACACACACACACAACAAGUGGUAGAGUAUAGUACGCCGGCCGACCACUUACCCCCUUCCGUACGCGAUCCUCGUUUGUCUGCUCUCCUCGUGUACACACACACACACACACACACACACACACACAAAUGGUUGAGGAUUAGACAGGUGACAGCGUCCACGGCUGGAGACUGUAGAGGUGAUUUUGGGGUGUUUGGGUCUAAAGGAAUACUGCUGUGAAGCCCAAUGAUGGGGUGCUGCCUUUUCAUCCAUCAGAAGAAGAAGAGGAAGCAGAGGAAGAGAGAUGUGGAUUCGCUCAGUCUGUGCAGCUUGGACAUCAAUGAAAUCAGCCUAUUGAACUCUGGACUAGACUAAGUCUUAAGACUGCUUAAAACCAUGAGGGGAAAAGCAGAUUUCUGUUCAUCUGGUU
rnacentral:lncRNA from 1 species